CUGCCCCCUAUAUAAGAAACACAAGGCUGCAUAAGAAAGGGACGGAGAGAAAUAGAGAGAAGGGUGAGUUAUAUUGGUGCAUCAGAGUGAGGCUGCAUUCAAGAGAAAGAAAUAGUGCACAGUGCUUAGUUACCUGGAGACUACAACCCGACGACAGGAGAGCAUCAAGUUCAGGUUCAGAGAAUGAAAGAAGCACGUGCAAAGAUGAGAAGGGAUUUCGACAACUUUCUGAAGGCAAAAGAAGAGAAACAGAGGGGUUCACUACACUUGUUUUUGAUGCCUGUAUCGCGGUGUGUCCUGCAUAUGGGUGGCAAAGAUGAGUGUCAAGUGAAUGCCCGGGGGGCUGCCAGUUCACACCAAGUACGGCUCUACGAAGUUCCCAAGUUUCACUACACUUGUCUUUGAUGCCUGUAUUGCGGUGCGUCCUGCAUAUGGGUGGCAAAGAUGAGUGUCAAGUGAAAGCCUCGGGCUGUUGGUUCACGCCAAGGACAAAUCUGCAAAGUUCUUGGGUUCACAAUAGUGGGGAAGCUGCUCCAAGAUGAUCCCCGUGCAGAGUUUCAACACCAAAGGAAGAAAUCACUCCACCUGCAGCAAAGCUAUCAUCAAAAUGGUGUCACACAAGGCGAAGGUUGCUACUUUUACGGAAGAGUUUUUGACUUAGCUCACCCUUGAUCAGAGAGUUUGCAGCAUUCACUCAGCUCACCUUCGAUCACUAAGUUACAGCCACAAAAACGCAAGAGAGAUGGGAGCCGUAUGAUUCUUGUUACCUGGCAUAAGAUAGUGGCAGAAAUAGUGGAGACAUAGAUCAACUUCGGUAACAAAUGGCUCCAUGCCUUUUCACUCCUAGACAAAUACGUGCAACAUCUUGCGAAGUUAAGACUACCUCUGUCGAGUGAUGGUUCAAAUGGUGUCUGUGAUGCUCUUCUUCAAAACUGUGUCUGCAAGAUGGAAAAGCAAUCUCAUGAUCAGCAAGAAAGAAGAAUGAAGUCCUUGCUUUUGGUUUCAUGGUCACGGCUACACAAAGAGAAAAAUGGAAGCUUAAUUCCACUCAUUUGCAGCAGAAGUAAAAGCUUUAGAAUAUGCAUAAUUGAGGCAGCUAUGUUGCAAGUCUUUUUCGGAACAAGCCAAAAACAAAAGACCAAGAAGCAUGCAGCAAUUACAUUUAAUUAAAGAAGUAGAAAUCACUCCUCAAGCAGCCACGAAGCUUUACGGUGGAGGAAUGUCUCAAACAUGGAGAUGAUUACAAUUAACUUCACACAUAAGCUUGUCAAAAUGAAAGCUUCUAAAAUGUGUGAGUGGACACGUUUGCUGCAAGUCAAACCAACAUACAUAAUUAAUGCAAGUUUAAUAAAAGCAUAUCUGUAGCUUUGUUUCUGGGAACUAAAGACAAAAGCCUAAAAAGCAUGAUUAAAAGUAUGGUUUCCAGCAAGCUUCUUUUGAAAAUAGUUUAAACAACAAAGGAGCAGACACCAAGAAGCAAAGUCUAGCUACAAUCAAUAUUCAAAAUGACCUCUGCACAAACAAAGUAACUGUGGCGGUGACAAACCGAUUAGUGCACAUCAAG